CAUUGUUCUCUUCAGCUCUGAUCUGAAAUGAAUUGUAUCAGAAAGUGUCACUACUAGUAAUUCAUGAGAAUAUAUUUUUGGACUGUGUGCGUUUUACAGUGUGUGAGACAUUCUUCCACUUUUUCUGGGAUGCUCCAAUGGAUUGGAAGUGUCGCUAACCAUGCCUGUUUCCCAGUAAAAGCUGUAUCCCGAAUGUUGGAGAACACUGGACCGGGACAGAGGAUGGUCACUGCUAUAUUUCUGUCAAAGGUCUCCACAGCCAGACAAGAAAACCAGCCCUACAGAAUAUCAGAAUUAAUGGACAUAAUUGACAUAUACUGUGCAUGGUGAUGAAGCUUGUUCAAAAACAACUGAAUUGUUUGAUUUUUGUUUAAAUUGCAUAAGCAUAAAAGUUUACAAACAUA